ACGACGACGGCGAGGAGCGUCAAGCACGCGAACGCGCGUCGCUAAAAGCUAAAACAGAAAGGAAAAUGACCCAAUCAGGAAAGUGCACGGAGUUCCCAGGGGCUAAUCAGGAAAAAACAAAUCGGCCAGAGUGGCAGAAAAACGAGGCACUCUGGCGGAAGAAGGUAAGAGUUCGAGCACAAGACACAAAGGGGGAGGACCGGGAGCUGAAGACGGGCCCUGGGGUUGCGGACUCGAGCCACCAGGGCUUCACCCGACAGGGGCCUCCUGCCAUCCUGUUCCCAAGCGUCACUACCCUUCCCGAGCCCGGCCGCGAACUACUCUACGCGAGGCCGGCGAACUUCUGUGCCCGCAGGCAGAGUGCGAGCAGUCGGUCUACGAGCCCGAGUUUGCACCAACCUGCCUGGCCGAGACGCCGCCUCCAUAUGCCCGUACCACCAAGCCGCCAGCGUCCCCUCUCCAAGCCGAAGCUACGCUCUGGCCGUUGGGUCAUCGGUAAACUACACCGACACCGUGCACGGUUUCGUUCUCCUUCACCAUACUCGUUUGGAGCUGCCUAAUCAGCUACUUCAUGUUCACUUUCUGCGGAGCUACAACGGGCAGACUGGACAAACUCAUCUUUGAGGCUCGGUGGGCAACAGAAGGAAAGGAACUGAAGGAAUAAUUUCUAAAUACCAAUGGUGCUGAGGAGACGUCGCAAGUGCUCCCGAAGUUACCAGAUUCCAAAGGGAGUUUGCACAAUACAGAAUCGGCGAAGAGGCCUUCAGUGGCUUGCAUAAAAAUAAGGAAAAGCCCACAAGCUGUCAUCUAUAACAUCAGUAAAAAAAGCCAUUAAUUUG